rnacentral:rRNA from 1 species
GACGAACGCUGGCGGCGUGCCUAAUACAUGCAAGUAGAACGCUGAAGGAGGAGCUUGCUUCUCUGGAUGAGUUGCGAACGGGUGAGUAACGCGUAGGUAACCUGCCUGGUAGCGGGGGAUAACUAUUGGAAACGAUAGCUAAUACCGCAUAAGAGUAGAUGUUGCAUGACAUUUGCUUAAAAGGUGCAAUUGCAUCACUACCGGAUGGACCGGCGUUGUAUUAGCUAGUUGGUGGGGUAACGGCUCACCAAGGCGACGAUACAUAGCCGACCUGAGAGGGUGAUCGGCCACACUGGGACUGAGACACGGCCCAGACUCCUACGGGAGGCAGCAGUAGGGAAGUAUUGGCA